rnacentral:lncRNA from 1 species
UCAGAUCCAGAACCUUCAGCUGCAGCUGGGUAUGGAAUUUCUAAGUGGUCAAAUUCUGGGUCUGACUCAAACAUGCAUUGAUUGACCAGUGGGCAAGCCAAGUGUGGUUUAUCUGUAAGAUGACACAUUCAUCGAUUAAAAACAGCUGAGCUACUCGCACAUGGAAAGAAGCGCUCAUUCGCCCGGAGCGCCUGGCCAUCACCGAGGGAGUGAGCAGCACCUGGCCGCAGGGUUAGUGCAUGAGGCACAUCUGGAGGUGAAACGCUUCCUAGUCACCCUCCAUGGCGCUGCGCUGGCUCAGCGGCUGUGUACCCAGCACCACACGGAGUCGAUGACAUUCCCCAUGGCCACCAGAUGACUAGGGACUCUGGUGUCAUGUGGCUGUGAGUGACAAGAGAAACACAAGCUGGCUCAGCCAGGGCCACCAGGCAAUGCUCUGGAGAAGAUGGGACACAGCUCAAAACAAGCCGAAUGGCUCUAUUUGGAACUCGUUCAUCCCUGUUGAUGUCCAUCAUGUCUGCUCACCUCACGCCAUCAUUUGUCCCCUAGUCUGCACAAGUCCUCCCCCACCCCUAUCCUGGCCACACCUAGCACACACAGAUGGCUUUGCUGCAGGGCCUUUGUACUUGCUAUUGUGUGCUAGGCCCAUGUCCUCUGAACUGGCUCCUUCUUGCUCUUUGUAUCUCUGUUCAAGGAACUCCUCCUAGCUUCCCUGUCCCAAGGGAUCUUUAUGUUCCCUGUUGUUAUCCCCUCCCCCCCCUAAGACUUUUCACCCAAAAUUACCUUUGACCUGUGUCUAUUUUCUGCCCUCCUGUCCCAUGAGAUUGUCA